CGAGCGCUGUUGCUAGGACAUAAUGGACAGAUGCAACGGUGCAGCGAUAGAGACUACUCAGUUGAACUACGGUAUUCCAACGGAACACACUUCGGUCGAGUAGUAGUCAACAACAGGAACGUGAAAGGUGUCAAAAUAAAUAAGCAUCAUAUAAUUAUAAUAAAGUGCGUGUUUUGCUACUCUUUUUCGUCUCGCAAACAUCAAAGAUACAAAAAUUGUUUUAAAAUGGGUUCUAUGGUUUGGUUAAUGUUAACGGCUUUAAUCUACCAAUCAUGGACAGAGCGGCAACCUGAUUUUACGAAAGAUUUUCUUACAAAAAACAUCAAAUCUAUCCGUCACCCACUACUUCAUUCAUUCAGUUCAAGACAUCAAAGCGUUGCCAUUAAUAGCAGGUAAAUACAAAGAAUAUAUUUAUAUGACGUUAGUCGAUUCCAGUAAAAGGCAGUUUAAGUUUCAUUCAAAUAUUGCAUGAUAUUCGACACUUAUCUUCUAAUUUGCGUUGACGUAAACUUAGAUCAGCGGAGCUCAA